CUGUCUAUAUGAUCGUGGUUUAUAUUACUAACUUUCGAGAUAGAAUUCGAGUUUGAUUAUUGCUUUCUUUAAUACAAUUACCUUUAGUUUUAUACAAUUAUUUUAAAUCUUUGGUUUUCUUUUUAUGCAAAUCAUUUGUUGAUUAUACAAAUCACUUCCAAGGAAUAGGAAUUUAUGGACGUCAUGGUAAUUAGUGGUCAAUUCGAAGAUUUUGUAUGCAGAUUUGGAACACGGUUCGAGCACCAGCUGCACGUAACAAAGUUUCCUUCGCUCGUGGGAAGGACCAGUAGAUUGAGAUACAUAUAGAAGAUUUUGCGAGCAGUUUCUUCUUUCGUUAUUAAACUGGUGCAUAUUUGUUGAAGUAGAAUAAAAUUUUGAUGAGUAAUAUUGGUUCAUCAAAUUCAAAGGUCACAGAAACAAUAUUUUCAUACGCGUCAACUUGACAUAUUUGAAAAAUAUUUUUACUGCCUACCAUCGACUACGAAUGUUAUCUUUAAUUUUGAUGAGAUGGAAAUUUUGUGUUAAAGCUUUUAACGGUAUAUACAUUCGAAACUAUUGCGAAGAGUUUUGAAAUGAGGAUGAAGAAAUACAUUUCCUAAGCAUUUUUAAAUAUUUUAUCUGUCUGUCAUUUUUUGCUGAUUUGCAACACAGAUGUUUUCGUCGUAAAUGUUCAUUCAUUUAUGUAUGCAUGAGCUGUUGAAACGACUAUCCGACGUUUAGUAUAAAAAUUCCAAUGUUUGCAUACGAAAUAGUAGGAUUUCGAAUAAUAAAACAAAUUGACGAAUCGUUAAAUUUCAUAGUAACAGACAUGCAUCAUUCGAUCGUGAUAAGAGGAGACGUGACUAAAAAUUCUUCGGGCUCGAAAUGUCAGCGAUAGAUCAACGCCGACGGAGACAAUGGUCCAUUCAUUGCAAGAAUAUGCACGUUUAUCGUUUCCUUUCAAUCGGUAGAUCUGCAUAAUCGACCUUAAUGUACUCUUAUCCAUAAUUCGUCAAAAAAUCAAUCACAAAAGAAGAGGAGAAUCUUUCAACGCGCCAUUUUUUUUACUUUUAUUGAUAAACUAUUCGUGUCUUUUUCAGCUAUGAAAGAGAUCAAACUUCAUCUUUUUUUCUCCUUAAUCCUUUUCUUUUAACUAUAUUUCCUGACUUAAGUAUCGUAGAGAAAAUUGCAAAAGUCUUCGUACCCUUUAUAAGAUUAUCUUUAUUAAAUAAAAUUGCACGUCUUUCGCAGCAAAGUUUGCGUGUUUUAUGCGAAUUAACAGCUUCGCUUUAAAGGUACAAAUUCUCAUAAAAUAUUGGCAUCAGCUAUAUAUCUCUCUGAGAAAUAGCAAGACUGCACAAACAUAAUCUUUUUCUUCUUUCGAAUAUUCUCAUAAAGUAGUGCGUUUUGCUAUAAAACAAUUAUUAUUGCUUCAUGUGUUAAUAAAUCAACACGAAGAUACGACACGUAAUAUUACACGAGCAUACGACUUAGCAUGAAAAUAGCCUUUUCAUAGGAUUUUACAGAACGAAGACUUUCGUGGAAGACCAUAAAAGAUAUUCUAAACAUUACAUUUACGCUUUCACUAUUCUCUCGACUGGCACAAACUCUCUACCCUAUUCUACACAUUUUCUCUGGCCACCAGUGAAGUUUUAAGUCUUCCUGAAAAUUUCACGCUGUGCUUGAGGAAGAAAAAUGGAGGGUAACCGUGAUGGGAGUUCUCGAGCCGCCAGAAGAGCCUAGGACAUUCGAGAAAAAAGAAGAGCCUGGACAGUCGAGGAAAAAGGAGAAGAUCGAGGCUGACUGUGUUCGAAAAACACAGCCGCUGGAAUGCAGGUGUGUUUUGCGCCGCCCGCUUAUUCGCUCGCUCGUUUGCUCGCCGACAUCAUACCUGGCGACACUGAUAAGCCAACCGCUUAUCGAGAUAACUAUGCAACGUUUGGAGAACCA